AUCAGAUGCUGCCAUACAUCAUAAAUCGCCUCUUACAGGUAGUGUGCCUAUGUGUACAUCGAAAUAUUAAUGAUCUAUGUGUACAUCGAAAUAUUAAUAUGUCUAUGUCAACAAUUAAAUAUUAGUGUGUCUUUGUGUACAGUCACUUCGUCUCUUGUCUGUUACUUGUUCGUUAGUGCACUUUAUGCUUAAUAUUUUUCUUUUUAACUUUUUAAUAUUUACAUUUUUUUAACUUUAUUCCCUUGUUUUAUACGAACCCAUAGCCUUAGCCUUAUUCUACUAACCCAUUGCAUUAGCAUUUCAUUCCACUUUAUUUUAUUACUUGUGCACUGUUGUCCUGUCUGUCUACUGUCGCGCACUAACCGCCAAGACAAAUUCCUUUUAUGUUUGAGAUAUUUUGGCUAAUAAAUGUUUCCUGAUUCCUGAAUCCUACAUCUAAAUAUUAGUUUGUCUCUGAGUAUGUGUGUGUGUGUGUGUUGUGCGCUUAUCUGAGUCAUGCGUAGAUCUGGCGCUGCUCCUGAGGGGGCGACUCUCAGCACAUCCUGAUGGCGUGGCAUCCUGAUGGCGUCCUGAUGGCGUGACGUCCUGAUGGCGUCCUGAUGGCGUGACGUCCUGAUGGCUUCCUGAUGACGUCCUGUUGGUCUGCAGAGACAAGGAGAAGAGACGUGAGGAGGAUCAUCAGGAUGUGAGACAACAUUCAUAGGUCCAAUUAUUUUAAUUUGAUACACUUUUGUUUAAUUAUUUCAUGUUUCUAUGUGUGUGUAAGUCUACAUUAUAUAUUUGUGGUUUUUAAGGUGUAUUUCUGUGUAUGCUUUUCAUGUUUUGUGCAUCUCUGGGCCUACCAACACUGUAAGUGUGUUAUAUGUUCUGUUCAGAGGGGUCAAAAGUAUUCACAUUUAUUACUCAAGUAGAAGUACAGAUACUAGGGUUUAAAAAGACUCCUGUAGAAGUUGAAGUAUCGACUCAAGCUUUUUACUUAAGUAAAAGUAGCGCCAUUUAUCUAGAUGGGUUUUUUUUGUGUUUUUGAACAUGGGACAAGCCGGAAGUAAUGAGGCUGUUUUUAAGAUUUAAGGAGUAGAAAGUACAGAUAUUUAAGUGGAAAUGUAAGGAGUAGAAGUAAAAAGCCGUCUGAAAAUAAAUACUCCAGUAAAGUAUAGAUAACCCAAAUUUCUACUUAAGUACAGUAACUUGACAACUCUGGUCUGUUAUUUGUGUGUGUGUCUCUGUGUAAAUACCUUUAUGUGUGUGUGUGUGUGUCUCUGUCUAAGUACUUUUAUAUGUGUGUGUGUCUCUGUGUAAGUACUUUUAUACGUUAGUGUCUCUGUGUAAGUACUUUUAUAUACGUGUGUCUCUGUCUAAGUACUUUUAUACGUUAGUGUCUCUGUGUAAGUACCUUUAUAUAUGUGUGUCUCUGUGUAAGUACUUUUAUAUACGUGUGUCUCUGUGUAAGUACUUUUAUAUGCGUGUGUCUCUGUAUAAGUACUUUUAUAUGUGAGUGUCUCUGUAUAAGUACUUUUAUAUGUGUGUGUCUCUGUGUAAGUACUUUUAUAUGUGAGUGCCUCUGUGUAAGUACUUUUAUACGUUAGUGUCUCUGUGUACAUGUACAUGAUAACAGCAGGAAUCAGAGGUUUAUCACAAGGUACUAACUCUACGUCACAGCUUCCCUUACCCGAUAGUACAAACACAUGAUUCACAGCAGUACGGCUGCAGUCUGUCUGGAUUUCUCACUUACCUCGAGCUCUGUUGAGUGCAGCAAAACGCGUCUUCAUCUCCUCUUCAGACUCCUGAGGCGUGACGAUCGCUUUCUGCAGUUUUCUGUCCGGAAAACUUCAGUGUGUGCAGAUGUGAGGUUUGAAACUAACUGACUAAAUGUGCCUCAGACUGUGUUUCUUAUACUGUGGGGAAUGGAGCAUAGAACACGGAACAUGGAGCACAGAACACGGAACAUGGAACAUAGAACACGGAACAUGGAGCAUGGAACAUGGAGCAUGGAAUUUGGAACACGGACAUGGAACAUGGAGAAAUCCUGAUGUCACCUGUCUAUGUUUACAGUGAAGGACUCAAGUGCAGAUGAUGCUCGGAGGGACCUGGAGCAAAUCACCAUGGCAAUAUUUGUUGUCUUUCGGAAAGAGGGGAAAGGACUGCAGGAGCCACCUGAAGACAUUAGCAUCGUCAUUGAGGGUGUGGAGGUGUUGCAUCAACUGUCAAAAGCUGUCCGUUUCAGCUUGUGCCCUGCUUCUGGGAUUGAUACUCAACCUCUCUUACCCAAAACCACUUCAUUUCACUUUUAAAGUGCUCCAGAAGAUAAUCAUGGAGCUUGAUCAGCAGAAGAUGUCCCCCAAGGUCCAUAAUCUGUAUGGCAGACUUCAAACACAAUAGUGUUUCGAUAUGGGGCAUUUCACUAUUCAGCCCCUUUGGAUGUUGGGCCUUUGUUAGCUCCAAGAUAAAAAUGUUAAGAUACAAUGUUGUUUUAUAUAUAUUAUCACUUGAUUGUAUACAAAUGCUUCUAUCAUACAUAUGAUUUUUGGGGAAAAAGUUCAAUUUCUGUCAGGUGUUCCCAAACAUUGUUACAUAUCAGAAGGCCAAAUGUGACUUGGCAUGGUUAUGCAUUUUGUGCAUAUUUAUGUUAAAAAAAACACUGGAAACAAAUACAAGCAAUACAUUUUGAAAGCCAUCAAAUUUGACUCUGUCAUUUUUCUUUUAGCCAACUUAAAAUUGGCCAAAAGUACAAUUUUACACCAAGGAUACUACAAAAAUUAGCUUUUAUGAAACCAUACUUUUAGGUUGUAAAGACGCAGUAUUUUACUUUUGGGUAAAGUAAAUAUUUGAGUUGGAAAAACUGUAAACUUUAGGUUGACUUGUUUUGAUUUUGAGUUAAAGUAAUGCAAAAUAUUGAUUUGAAACACAUCGAAUUAUUACAUCCAUCUGACUAAAAUCAAUUGUGUUAAUAGAACUUGUUAACUUCAUUUGGAAAAACCUAAUUCAUUCGUGUGUUACCAAUUCAAAUAGUUCAAUUAAGUUGGUUCAACUAUUUGCUUUUUUCAGUGUACCAAAAAACAUGGGCAUUAUAGUCUUUGGCACUGCGUUUAUUAGAGGCUGUUUAAGCCACAGAUUAUUGUACACAAGGUGGCUUCUGCAGGGGUCCUGUUUAGAGAGAACUGAAGAGGGGGAACACUUCACACCAGGCACGUGAACAGAUAGACCCCUCUAGUGGUGCUCAAGCACCUGCCCUUUUGCCCUGCAGUGCCCCUUCUGCUGGAGCACAAUUGUUUCUUCAUUCAUCAAUACUUUUUGUUUUGAUAUCCGACGGGGCAUUUAUUUGACUUCUGAGUUUCGCCCCGAACUGCUCCGCGGCGCUCACAACACAACAUAAGCGCCGCUGAAAACAUUACGUUGCAACUGGUCUGCCGUGUCCUAAAAAAUAAACAAAUGGAAAAAGUCACAAAAUCCUUGAUUUCAAAGCCUUUCGUCCAGCUGUCAUGUUUAAUGAAGAGAGACAGAGAUGCAGACAGACAGGCAGAGAAUUUAUUGACAGUUUUACAAAUUAGACAGAGGGGCGGUUAAUUGACCUCUUUCUCCAUGUGCCCUUUGCAAAGUUCCCCCGGCCCAUUCUCCACCUCUCGUAGGUUAAUUGAAACAGACGGAGCGAAAGGCUCUUUUCUGA
ensembl:lncRNA